GAUGAACGCUGGCGGCGUGCCUAAUACAUGCAAGUCGAGCGGACUUCUUAAGAGCUUGCUCUUCAGAAGUUAGCGGCGGACGGGUGAGUAACACGUAGGUAACCUGCCUAUAAGACUGGGAUAACUACGGGAAAACGGGGCUAAUACCGGAUAACAUUUUGCACCGCAGGGUGCGAAAUUGAAAGGCGGCUGCGGCUGUCACGUAUAGCAGGACCUGCGGCGAAUUAGCUAGGUGGUGAGGUAACGGCUCACCAAGGCGACGAUGCGUAGCCUACCUGAGAGGGUGAUCGGCCACACUGGGACUGAGACACGGCCCAGACUCCUACGGGAGGCAGCAGUAGGGAAUCUUCCGCAAUGGACGAAAGUCUAACGGAGCAACGCCUCGUGAGCGAUGAAGGCCUUCGGGUCGUAAAGCUCUGUUGUUAGGGAAGAACAAGUGCUAGUUGAAUAAGCUGGCACCUUGACGUUACCUAACCAGAAAGCCACGGCUAACUACGUGCCAGCCGCCGCAGUAAUAC
rnacentral:rRNA from 1 species